rnacentral:rRNA from 1 species
UACGGAGGGAGCUAGCGUUGUUCGGAAUUACUGGGCGUAAAGCGCGCGUAGGCGGCUUUGUAAGUUAGAGGUGAAAGCCCGGAGCUCAACUCCGGAACUGCCUUUAAAACUGCAUCGCUUGAAUCCAGGAGAGGUGAGUGGAAUUCCGAGUGUAGAGGUGAAAUUCGUAGAUAUUCGGAAGAACACCAGUGGCGAAGGCGGCUCACUGGACUGGUAUUGACGCUGAGGAGCGAAAGCUAGGGGAGCAAACGGG